UUGGGGUUUCGACGGCCAGUGAUUAGAGUUUGAUCAUGGCUCAGGAUGAACGCUAGCGGCAGGCUUAACACAUGCAAGUCGAGGGGCAUCGCGGGGUAGCAAUACCCUGGCGGCGACCGGCGAAAGGGUGCGUAACGCGUGAGCGACAUGCCCGUCACAGGGGGAUAACCGGCGGAAACGCCGCCUAAUACCCCAUAUGAGGCCAGGCCACAUGGCCGGGCCUUGAAAGUCAAGGCGGUGACGGAUUGGCUCGCGUCCGAUUAGCCAGUUGGCGGGGCAACGGCCCACCAAGGCGACGAUCGGUAGGGGUUCUGAGAGGAAGGCCCCCCACAAUGGAACUGAGACACGGUCCAUACUCCUACGGGAGGCAGCAGUGAGGAAUAUUGGUCAAUGGGCGGAAGCCUGAACCAGCCAUGCCGCGUGCAGGAAUGAGGCCCUACGGGUCGUGAACUGCUUUUCGCGCGGAGCAAUAAGGGGGUUCGCCCCUCCGAUGAGAGUACGCGCGGAAUAAGCAUCGGCUAACUCCGUGCCAGCAGCCGCGGUAAUACGGAGGAUGCGAGCGUUAUCCGGAUUCAUUGGGUAUAAAGGGUGCGUAGGCGGCCCCCCAAGUCAGCGGUGAAAUGUCCGGGCCCAACCCGGAGGGUGCCGUUGAUACUGCGGGGCUGGAGUACGGACGCCGGCGGAGGAAUGAGUGGUGUAGCGGUGAAAUGCAUAGAUAUCACUCAGAACACCGAUUGCGAAGGCAUCCGCCGAGGCCGUUACUGACGCUGAGGCACGAAAGCGUGGGGAUAGAACAGGAUUAGAUACCCUGGUAUUCCACGCCGUAAACGAUGAUGACUAACCGCCGGGCGGAGUGACGUCCGGCAGCCAAGCGAAAGCGAUAAGUCAUCCACCUGGGGAGUACGGCCGCAAGGCUGAACUCAAAGGAAUUGACGGGGGCCCGCACAGCGGAGACAUGUGGUUUAUUCGAUGAUACGCGAGGACUUACCCGGGCUCGACGCGCGCGAGCGGCGAGACGCCUCGCCCUCGGGCGCGCGCGAGUGCUGCAUGAUGUCGUCAGCUCUGCCGUGAGGUGUCGCUCAGUGCAUAACGAGCGCACCCCUGCGCAGUUGCACAGCCAAGCUUGGACCUGCGACUGCACCGCAAGGUCAGACGAUACCAUUCACGGCCUACUCGGGGCACGGUUUAAUGGCGUA
rnacentral:rRNA from 1 species